UUUGGAGAGUAAGUCAAAACUUGGAGUAAGCACUAUUAUUCUCAUUGAAAAUGUCUAAUUAAAACUAUUGUGGGAUAUUUCUUUCAGCUAAGUUCUCCUGGGCUUCAUUUAACUUUUCCAACUUUUUUACUUCGUUAUUUCUUUAUUUUCUAGUUGAUUUUCAAAUUUUCUUUGAGGACAUUGUUAUUUUUUUUCAAGUUUGCUGAUUUUUCACUCUUUCUUUUUCUUUUCAGAUUUGUACUCACAUUCAUUUGAUUUUCUCAAGUUCUA
rnacentral:lncRNA from 1 species